UACGUAGGGUGCAAGCGUUGUCCGGAAUUAUUGGGCGUAAAGGGCUCGUAGGCGGUUUGUCGCGUCGGGGAGUGAAAACCCAGGGCUUAACCCUGGGCUGGCUUCCGAUACGGGCAGACUAGAGGUAUGCAGGGGAGAACGGAAUUCCUGGUGUAGGCGGUGAAAUGCGCAGAUAUCAGGAGGAACACCGAUGGCGAAGGCAGGUCUCUGGGCCACUACUGACGCUGGAGAAGCGAAAGCAUGGGGAGCGAACAGG
rnacentral:rRNA from 1 species